GCAGCUCAAUGGUAGAGCAUCUGGUUUGCAUGCAGAAGGCUGCAAAUUCAAAUCUGGGCAUCUCCA